GGGGGAUAUUGCACAAUGGGCGAAAGCCUGAUGCAGCAACGCCGCGUGAGGGAAGACGGUUUUCGGAUUGUAAACCUCUGUUCUAAGUGACGAACAAAUGACGGUAGCUUAGGAGAAAGCCCCGGCUAACUACGUGCCAGCAGCCGCGGUAAUACGUAGGGGGCAAGCGUUGUCCGGAAUUACUGGGUGUAAAGGGAGCGCAGGCGGAGAAGCAAGUCAGUGGUGAAAACGAUGGGCUUAACUCAUCGACUGCCAUUGAAACUGUUUCCCUUGAGUGAAGUAGAGGCAGGCGGAAUUCCGAGUGUAGCGGUGAAAUGCGUAGAUAUUCGGAGGAACACCAGUGGCGAAGGCGGCCUGCUGGGCUUUAACUGACGCUGAGGCUCGAAAGUGUGGGGAGCAAAC
rnacentral:rRNA from 1 species